GUUUAGGGAUUUCUGAGAUAAAACUGUGGAGAGAAUAGUCAUGACUUGAAGAUGUCAGUGCUACAAGUACCACAUGGAAUUUGGAAACCUGGAGGAUCUUAGCAAUGGAAGAUGAUGAGCAGAAAAGUUAAUGAAGUAUUCUCAGCCUGAACAAAAUACCUGAAGGUCAGCAGAGUGACAGCUCAUAAUAAUAUUCUCUCUGUACUGAGCUGAGGACACAAAUCCCAGCUCCUAGAUGAGGGCUUCAGUCUGUCCUGGGAUAGUAGCAAGAAUGGAGAAGAACUGCAUACGCACACAUCAGAAUAUAUGCAGUUGUCUUGUGUAUCUGAUAGUUCCUUAACUACACAAAAUAGAGCAAUGCAACAAGAGGACGGUAACUCAAUGUUGCCUGUGUAAAGCCCGGAAAUGGAAGGUGAGGUAGUGUGGAGGAUUCUCUCUACAUGAGAGCUGCACAUCUGUGUGAAAAAGUGUUUCACUAUUAAAGGAGAGCAUCACUGUCAACUAUGGAAGGCACUACAGAAGAAGUCAGGUUUUUCUCCGUAUUCUCACUUGCUGCUUCUUUUCCACGUGACAGCAGAAGUAUCCCCUCGUCUCCUUGUCUUUUGUCUCCCUUUCUCCCUUCUCCAUUUAACUUGUGAAACUUCAUGGUGGGUUUGAUCUAUCUGGGCUGUAACACACCCUUCACCAUGGGCUGUGUCUGUUAAACAUAAUUUAGCAGGUUACAGUAUGUCAGAUGAAUUGAGACGAUCUUUGCAGACCUGCAACAAACAUGGAAAAAAAAAGGAUUUAUUUUUUGUCUCCAACCUAUUUCGUAGCAAACUGUACAGAGUUACACUAACUUGCAUAUUCCAUAGGCUGAAACAUGCUUACAGCCCCUGGUACUCAGCUGACACUCAGCCAAGCUGUUAAACUGCAUACUGUGAUUCUAACCAUGGGUGGUGCCUGCAGCAUCCGCCACAAAUUUGUCUUGAUAUAUGCUUUUUGCCACCAGCUUCCCAAGAUUAACUACAGAAAUAGUGAGUGCUCUUAGACCUGAAUUCAGAUUAAUUCUAUUAAGUACUUUUUAUUUAAAUAACAGAAAGUGAUGUACUUGUGAGUCAGGGAGAAAAUAAAUGCUACUGCACACACUGAAAGGAAGUAACACCUUUUUAUUUUUUAAUCCAUAGAUUCAUUGGCAUCGGGUACGUCUACUCACCAAAUAAUUUAUCAAGUACAUCAGUAUUUAUAAAGUACAUUAAUGAGUCGGAACAUGAUCUAAUCAGUAUGUGGAAGUUUAUUUGUCAGACUGACUUAGAAGUACACAUUGGUAUUUUUCUGCUGAAGAUCAAAAUUAAACUACUUUCUGAGGGAAGAGGAAGGAGACGAAGGGAAGAGAAGGGAAAGGAAUAUUCUGUAUUUCUGUAAUUAUGUUUUACAAAAGUUAUAUGGGGUUUAACCAGAAGAAAGCUUAAGUGAUUGUGUUCACGUGUCAGCACAGAAAACUCUCAAGUGUCUGUACAAAG